CUCCAUGCACUAACGUAUUAUAAUUAUGUAAGAAGAAGAAGAAAGAAGAAACGAAAGAAAAGAAAAAUGAGAUCAAGAGGAAAGAGAGGAAGGAGGAGAAGUACAACAACAAAACCAUCUAGUCACCCUUGACAAAAGUGGUGCGGCUAGGUUAGCAUAGUGAGAGAGAUGCAUACUUUAUAUAUAUAAAUGUCGCACGGUUUGACCAAAAAAAGAAGAAGAGGGUUUUAGUUAAUUGUAGUUAAAUAAAUUGGUACAACUCAGU
rnacentral:lncRNA from 1 species